rnacentral:rRNA from 1 species
GACGAACGCUGGCGGCGUGCCUAAUACAUGCAAGUCGAGCGGACAGAUGAGAAGCUUGCUUCUCUGAUGUUAGCGGCGGACGGGUGAGUAACACGUGGGUAACCUACCUAUAAGACUGGGAUAACUCCGGGAAACCGGGGCUAAUACCGGAUAAUAUUUUGAACCGCAUGGUUCAAUAGUGAAAGACGGUUUCGGCUGUCACUUAUAGAUGGACCCGCGCCGUAUUAGCUAGUUGGUAAGGUAAUGGCUUACCAAGGCGACGAUACGUAGCCGACCUGAGAGGGUGAUCGGCCACACUGGAACUGAGACACGGUCCAGACUCCUACGGGAGGCAGCAGUAGGGAAUCUUCCGCAAUGGGCGAAAGCCUGACGGAGCAACGCCGCGUGAGUGAUGAAGGUCUUCGGAUCGUAAAACUCUGUUGUUAGGGAAGAACAAAUUUGUUAGUAACUGAACAAGUCUUGACGGUACCUAACCAGAAAGCCACGGCUAACUACGUGCCAGCCGCCGCCGUAA